ACAAAGAUUGUAGUGUGGAUAGCUGUGUUGCAGUCUGCAAUGUACGAGACGAGUGAUGGAAGGUCAUUCCUUUAGCCUAAGGUGUUUAACUGUGCCUAGGAAAAACCUCAAGUUGUCUCUAGAAUCAAAAAGACAAUUUUGUUCUUGUAACUGGCAUUCAUGAGG